AAAGUCGUAACAAGGUUUCCGUAGGUGAACCUGCGGAAGGAUCAUUCACAAAUGAGAUGUAUGCGGGAACAUAUGUUACAUAUGUAUGUGCUCGUUACAUUUUAGAUAUUAUAAUAAUGCAUUCACAAUUGUAGAGAUCCGCGGUGGAGUGUGUGCGUUGUCUCUAUAUAUGUUCGUAUAUAUUGGGUACAGUGCCAACGGAUUGAAUUGUGUUGAAUUUCCACCAUUUUUUUAUGAUCACAACAAGGCAGUACGUAUGUAAUGCUGAAGUUUUUUUUUACUUUUAUAUGUAUAUAUCAUGUGUAUCAGAAUGUAAUGACAACUCUUUGCAAUGGAUAUCUUGGUUCUC
rnacentral:misc_RNA from 1 species